rnacentral:rRNA from 1 species
ACUCCUGCGGGAGGCAGCAGUGGGGAAUUUUGGACAAUGGGCGAAAGCCUGAUCCAGCAAUGCCGCGUGAGUGAAGAAGGCCUUCGGGUUGUAAAGCUCUUUUGUCAGGGAAGAAACGGUGAAAGCUAAUAUCUUUUGCUAAUGACGGUACCUGAAGAAUAAGCACCGGCUAACUACGUGCCAGCAGCCGCGGUAAUACGUAGGGUGCAAGCGUUAAUCGGAAUUACUGGGCGUAAAGCGUGCGCAGGCGGUUUUGUAAGUCAGAUGUGAAAUCCCCGGGCUCAACCUGGGAAUUGCAUUGGAGACUGCAAGGCUAGAAUCUGGCAGAGGGGGGUAGAAUUCCACGUGUAGCAGUGAAAUGCGUAGAUAUGUGGAGGAACACCGAUGGCGAAGGCAGCCCCCUGGGUCAAGAUUGACGCUCAUGCACGAAAGCGUGGGGAGCAAACAGGAUUAGAUACCCUGGUAGUCCCAUGAU